AAAAGAAACUAACAAGGAUUCCCCUAGUAACUGCGAGUGAAGCGGGAAAAGCUCAAAUUUAAAAUCUGGCGGUUCUUGUAGCCGUCCGAGUUGUAAUUUAGAGAAGUGUUAUCCGCGCUGGACCGUGUAUAAGUCUCCUGGAACGGAGCGUCGUAGAGGGUGAGAAUCCCGUAUAUGACACGGACUACCAGGGCUUUGUGAUGCGCUCUCGAAGAGUCGAGUUGUUUGGGAAUGCAGCUCAAAAUGGGUGGUAAAUUCCAUCUAAAGCUAAAUAUAGGCGAGAGACCGAUAGCGAACAAGUACCGUGAGGGAAAGAUGAAAAGAACUUUGGAAAGAGAGUUAAACAGUACGUGAAAUUGUUGAAAAGGAAACGCUUGAAGUCAGUCGCGUUAGCCAGGGAUCAACUUAGCUUUUGCUGAGAGCACUUUCUGGUUGACGGGUCAGCAUCAAUUUUGACUGUUGGAUAAAGGUCAGUGGAAUGUGGCAUCCUCGGAUGUGUUAUAGCCAUUGGUUCGCAUACAACAAUUGGGAUUGAGGAACUCAGCACGCCGCAAGGCCGGGGAUUCGUCCCACUACGUUGCUUAGGAUGCUGGCAUAAUGGCUUUAAUCGACCCGUCUUGAAACACGGACCAAGGAGUCUAACAUGCCCGCGAGUGUUUGGGUGUAAAACCCGAGCGCGUAAUGAAAGUGAAAGUUGAGACCUCUGUCGUGGAGGGCAUCGACGCCCGGACCAGACCUUUUGUGACGGAUCCGCGGUAGAGCGUGUAUGUUGGGACCCGAAAGAUGGUGAACUAUGCCUGAAUAGGGUGAAGCCAGAGGAAACUCUGGUGGAGGCUCGUAGCGAUUCUGACGUGCAAAUCGAUCGUCGAA
rnacentral:rRNA from 1 species